rnacentral:rRNA from 1 species
GUGGGGAAUAUUGGGCAAUGGGGGAAACCCUGACCCAGCAACGCCGCGUGAGGGAAGAAGGUUUUCGGAUCGUAAACCUCUGUCCUUGGUGAAGAGAAAGAGACGGUAGCCAAGGAGGAAGCCCCGGCUAACUACGUGCCAGCAGCCGCGGUAAUACGUAGGGGGCGAGCGUUGUCCGGAAUGAUUGGGCGUAAAGGGCGCGUAGGCGGCCCGGUAAGUCUGAAGUGAAAGUCCUGCUUUUAAGGUGGGAAUUGCUUUGGAUACUGUCGGGCUUGAGUGCAGGAGAGGUAAGUGGAAUUCCCAGUGUAGCGGUGAAAUGCGUAGAGAUUGGGAGGAACACCAGUGGCGAAGGCGACUUACUGGACUGUAACUGACGCUGAGGCGCGAAAGUGUGGGGAGCAAACAGG